AAAAUAUUCCCUCCCUGGAGAUUUUAACUUCUUGGACUUGCCCAAGCUGUGCUGGGGAAGUGAAAACUUGUGAGGAGCAAAACAUUGGGAGAUUUUCAUUUGCAGCCAUAAGUUAUCCCAUAUGGUUGGAGAGCUCCCUUGGUUUUUUGAAAACAGCUGAGAAAGGAAGAAGGUUGGAAGAAAGAAGAGGAAGAAAAGGAAGAAAAGGACAGAGGCACAAAGCAGGAGGAAAAGGAUGAGAAGUUGUAGUUGCCUUCUCGGGGAAAACGACAGGGCCGGGAAGAAAGUAAGUACAGGGUCUCAACCAGGAAGAAAACUGAGCUGGGGACAAGGAAAAGCAUCCACUAAGAAGAAACGUCAUCUAACAAGGUCAACCCAGUCAGUGCUCACCCAUGCAGAGACCCUACAGAAACCUGAGUUGUCAAUGCCUGACUGAAGAAAUCAAGGAACCCCAGCAAACCUUGCACAGUAUCCUGGAAAUGACCACCUUCAGUGUCCUGAACUUCUACUCCCAAAAGGCAGAGAGAGCAGAAGGCAGGUCAAAGUGACCACAGCAUACACAAUGCUUGGUAUAUGUUUUCAGUGGCUACAAAAACAGUUGGCAGGGCCUCAUCUGUCUCUGUCUCAUUUUAAAUUUCAGAAGCAAAUAAAAUUCUGCGCUUUGUCACUCCUUGGAAAAUCAGAUUAGGAAUUACAUAAGUCUUUUUUCUAACUUAGCUUCCUAUGUAUUCACAUAUUUCAUUGUUAUUUUUCUUCAUUGUAUGUCUUAAACUGAAUGAUAAUCUUGCUAAUAAUGACAACUGUGUUAUGAAACAUCUACUUUUCUAAUGUCUUCUUUCAAAGACUCAAUUUGUAUUUUA